CGAGGUGACCAGGAGGCCGCCGGUGAUCCAUCGUGAUCACGGGAGGAAAGUCCGAGCUCCACAGGGCAGGGUGCCGGGUAACACCCGGUCGGGGCGACCCGGAGGAAAGUGCAACAGAGAGCAGGGCGCCGCGGGAGCGAUCCCACGGUGAGCGUGAAAGGGUGCGGUAAGAGCGCACCGGCGCCACCGGUGACGGUGGCGGCCAGGCAAACCCCACCUGGAGCAAGACCGAAUAGGGGAGCGAUCGAGGGCUGCCCGCCCGAUGCUCCUGGGUUGGUCGCUCGAGGCCGUCGGUGACGGCGGCCCUAGAGGAAUGGUCUCCACCCCUGCGAGGGCGACCGAGCAGGGGCACAGAACUCGGCUUACGGAUGCCUCGAACC
rnacentral:RNase_P_RNA from 1 species